GCAUGGCCGUUAACGACGAGUGGAGUGAUCUUUGGGUUAAGUCCGUAAAUUAGUGAGACCUCAGCCGUAAGGGACAGGUGCGCAAAGCACAGGAAGGAUGGGUCAAGGACAGGUCAGUGAUGCCCUUAGAUGGUCCGGGCUGCACGCGCACUACAGUGGUCGCCGAAAUUAGCUGAUAAUUUUAAAGGCGAUCGAGAGGGAAUGAGCUUUGUAAGAGGCUCAGGAACGAGGAAUUGCUAGUAAUCGCGGACUCAUUAAGACGCGAUGAAUACGUCCCUGUUCUUUGUACACACCGCCCGUCGUUAUCGAAGAUGAAGACAGGCGCGAACGAUCUACCAGAAAGUGAGCGCAGGUCUUUAGAUCUGAUACAAGUCGUAACAAGGUAGCUGUAGGUGAACCUGUAGCUGG
rnacentral:rRNA from 1 species